UUCUGGUGGGUUCUGGUUCUCGAAGUGAUGCCAGUGUGGAGGCUUUAAAUGAAACCUGCUGCUGUGAUAAUGUGAAGCCCGGUCAGUCAGGCCGUACAACAGCGGUGUUCACAGCUCUACAGCCCCCCUCACUCACUCACACGGCCUCUGGAUGGAGGCUGCUGGACCCGCCGGCCCCCGAACUACAGCAGCUACACUGACCCGGACUGGACUUAUGAUACAGCGAGACCACAGACACGAGGACAGGGCACCUGUCUGCAGUGUGUGUCGAACACUUCAGCCUUCAUGUGGUGUUGUGAUGUGGGUCGACAGCAGCGGAGUUUCAUCCUGAGGUGAUGAUGAUGAAGCUGGAUCAGAUUAGGACGAAGAAAAGCGGAGAUCUGGUGUUUGUUUGACUUUGCAAUCCGGACCAGUUGUCAUGGUGAUUAGCAGCACAGAGAGGAGGAGCUGUCUGGAGGAGAAAUACAACAGGAGAAGGAGGAGAUG